GAGUUAAUGGCAUAGUGGUUUGAGUGUUGGACUACAACUCUGGAGACCAGGGUUCGAUUCCCAGUUCAGUCA
rnacentral:tRNA from 1 species